rnacentral:rRNA from 1 species
GCUGAACCUUAGCCUGCACACCAUACCAUAAAUUCAAUAUUUUAAAAACUAAACCAUUUAUCACAUUUAGUAUAUGAGAUAGAACCCUGCCACCAGCGCAAUAGCUAAUAAUUGUACCGCAAGGGAACAUUGAAAGACCAACUAGAUCAACCAAAGCAAAAUACAGCAGGACUAACUCCCCGUACCUUCUGCAUCAUGGUUUAGCAAGCAGCUUGCUGAUAAAGAGCCCUGUAUCUGCCACCCCGAAACCAGACGAGCUACCUAAAAGCAAUUGUUAGAAUGAACCCAUCCCUGUAGCAAAAGGGCGGGAAGACUUUUAGGUAGAGGCGAAAUACCAAUCGAGUCCGGUGAUAGCUGGUUGCUCACUAAAUGAACCUCAGUUCAACUCUAGCUAUAAUAACAAACAACGAAUUUUUUAUACCCCUCCUAGAAGAUAUACAAUAAAGGUACAGCUUUAUUGUAAUUGGCUACAACCAAAAUUAGCGGGACUAGAAAACCCCACCAAUCAGUGGGCCCUUAAGCUGCCAACAACAAUUAAUGCGUCAAAGCACAUAAUACACAAAUACAACAAAAGCAUUCAACCCCCUAACCCCCCACCGAGCCAUCCCAUACACACCUGGGAGAGCCCCUGCUAAAACUAGUAAUACGAUAUAACCUCUCCUCGCACUACCAUGCACCAACACGGACAAACCAUUGGCAAUUAACAGACUACAAACAGCAAUAUAAAACAAUGCUAGAGCACCUACCACAAACACUGUCACACCAACACAGGCGUGCGCAUAGGAAUGAUAAAAAGCCUUAGAGGGAACUCGGCUAACCUCGCCCCAACUGUUUACCAAAAACAUAGCCUUUAGCUUCACAAGUAUUAAAGGUCCUGCCUGCCCAGUGAGUAAUUUAACGGCCGCGGUAUCAUAACCGUGCAAAGGUAGCGUAAUCAUUUGUCCCUUAAAUAGGGACCUGUAUGAACGGCUCAAUGAGGGCAAACCUGUCCCCUAAGACCAGUCAAUGAAACUGAUCUGCCAGUACAAAAGCUGGCAUAUAACCACAAGACGAGAAGACCCUGUGGAGCUUUAAACUCAAACACUACUAAGCCCGCCACCCAUACCCUAAGUAUGACAUGACCUAAAAUAGUGUUAGUUUUAAGUUGGGGCGACUACGGAGCAAAAAACCCCCUCCAUGACACAGGCCAACACCAUCCAAGACCUACGGGUCAACGAAAAACACCAUAGAUCCAGUAAACACUGAGCAGCGAACCAAGUUACCCCAGGGAUAACAGCGCCAUCCCCCUAAAGAGUCCAUAUCGCUAGGGGGGCUUACGACCUCGAUGUUGGAUCAGGACUCCCAAGUGGUGCAGCCGCUACUAAAGGUUCGUUUGUUCAACGAUUAAUGUCCUACGUGAUCUGAGUUCAGACCGGAGAAAUCCAGGUCGGUUUCUAUCUAUGUCACAGUCUCUUCAGUACGAAAGGACCAACGAGACCAACGCCCAUACUACCCAGCACGCGUUACAAGUCCACACUGAACACAUAUAAAGUCUGACAGCCCAUGCGGCCCCAGACUAGGGUAACGUU